rnacentral:rRNA from 1 species
CCUACGGGAGGCAGCAGUGAGGAAUAUUGGUCAAUGGGCGUGAGCCUGAACCAGCCAAGUCGCGUGAGGGAUGAAUGUUCUAUGGAUCGUAAACCUCUUUUAUAAGGGAAUAAAAUGUGGGACGUGUCCCAUUUUGUAUGUACCUUAUGAAUAAGGAUCGGCUAACUCCGUGCCAGCAGCCGCGGUAAUACGGAGGAUCCGAGCGUUAUCCGGAUUUAUUGGGUUUAAAGGGUGCGUAGGCGGGCUUUUAAGUCAGCGGUGAAAGUCUGUGGCUCAACCAUAGAAUUGCGGUUGAAACUGGGGGUCUGGAGUAUGGUUGAGGUAGGCGGAAUGCGUGGUGUAGCGGUGAUAUGCUUAGAUAUCACGCAGAACCCCGAUUGCGAAGGCAGCUUGCCAAGCCAUGACUGACGCUGAUGCACGAAAGCGUGGGGAUCAAACAGGAUUAGAUACCCCUGUAGUC